CUGUGUGUUGUUGGGUAGGGGAGCGUUCUGUAAGCCUGCGAAGGUGUGCUGUGAGGCAUGCUGGAGGUAUCAGAAGUGCGAAUGCUGACAUAAGUAACGAUAAAGCGGGUGAAAAGCCCGCUCGCCGGAAGACCAAGGGUUCCUGUCCAACGUUAAUCGGGGCAGGGUGAGUCGACCCCUAAGGCGAGGCCGAAAGGCGUAGUCGAUGGGAAACAGGUUAAUAUUCCUGUACUUGGUGUUACUGCGAAGGGGGGACGGAGAAGGCUAUGUUGGCCGGGCGACGGUUGUCCCGGUUUAAGCGUGUAGGCUGGUUUUCCAGGCAAAUCCGGAAAACCAAGGCUGAGGCGUGAUGACGAGGCACUACGGUGCUGAAGCGACAAAUGCCCUGCUUCCAGGAAAAGCCUCUAAGCAUCAGGUAACAUCAAAUCGUACCCCAAACCGACACAGGUGGUCAGGUAGAGAAUACCAAGGCGCUUGAGAGAACUCGGGUGAAGGAACUAGGCAAAAUGGUGCCGUAACUUCGGGAGAAGGCACGCUGAUAUGUAGGUGAAGCGACUUGCUCGUGGAGCUGAAAUCAGUCGAAGAUACCAGCUGGCUGCAACUGUUUAUUAAAAACACAGCACUGUGCAAACACGAAAGUGGACGUAUACGGUGUGACGCCUGCCCGGUGCCGGAAGGUUAAUUGAUGGGGUUAGCGGCAACGCGAAGCUCUUGAUCGAAGCCCCGGUAAACGGCGGCCGUAACUAUAACGGUCCUAAGGUAGCGAAAUUCCUUGUCGGGUAAGUUCCGACCUGCACGAAUGGCGUAAUGAUGGCCAGGCUGUCUCCACCCGAGACUCAGUGAAAUUGAACUCGCUGUGAAGAUGCAGUGUACCCGCGGCAAGACGGAAAGACCCCGUGAACCUUUACUAUAGCUUGACACUGAACAUUGAGCCUUGAUGUGUAGGAUAGGUGGGAGGCUUUGAAGUGUGGACGCCAGUCUGCAUGGAGCCGACCUUGAAAUACCACCCUUUAAUGUUUGAUGUUCUAACGUUGGCCCCUAAUCGGGGUUGCGGACAGUGUCUGGUGGGUAGUUUGACUGGGGCGGUCUCCUCCUAAAGAGUAACGGAGGAGCACGAAGGUUGGCUAAUCCUGGUCGGACAUCAGGAGGUUAGUGCAAUGGCAUAAGCCAGCUUGACUGCGAGCGUGACGGCGCGAGCAGGUGCGAAAGCAGGUCAUAGUGAUCCGGUGGUUCUGAAUGGAAGGGCCAUCGCUCAACGGAUAAAAGGUACUCCGGGGAUAACAGGCUGAUACCGCCCAAGAGUUCAUAUCGACGGCGGUGUUUGGCACCUCGAUGUCGGCUCAUCACAUCCUGGGGCUGAAGUAGGUCCCAAGGGUAUGGCUGUUCGCCAUUUAAAGUGGUACGCGAGCUGGGUUUAGAACGUCGUGAGACAGUUCGGUCCCUAUCUGCCGUGGGCGCUGGAGAACUGAGGGGGACUGCUCCUAGUACGAGAGGACCGGAGUGGACGCAUCACUGGUGUUCGGGUUGUCAUGCCAAUGGCACUGCCCGGUAGCUAAAUGCGGAAGAGAUAAGUGCUGAAAGCAUCUAAGCACGAAACUUGCCCCGAGAUGAGUUCUCCCUGAGACUUAGAGCCUCCUGAAGGAACGUUGAAGAC
rnacentral:rRNA from 1 species